rnacentral:rRNA from 1 species
AAGAGUGGCGUCUAUUAUAAGCUAUCGCAUGUAGGAGGGAGUCUGCGUACCAAUAGUUUGUUGGUGGGGUAAUGGCCUACCAAGACUUCGAUGGUUAGCGGGUCUGAGAGGAAGAUCCGUCACACUGGCACUGAAACACGGGCCAGAUUCCUACGGGAGGCAGCAGUGAGGAAUAUUGCGCAAUGGGGCAAACCCUGACGCAGUGACGCCGCGUGGGUGAGGAAGGCUUUCGGGUCGUAAAGCCCUGUCAGAAGGGAAGAAAUGUGUAUAGGUUAAUAUCUUAUACAUUUGACGGUACCUUCAAAGGAAGCACCGGCUAACUCCGUGCCAGCAGCCGCGGUAAUACGGAGGGUGCAAACGUUGUUCGGAAUCACUGGGCGUAAAGGGCGCGCAGGCGGUUUGAUUAGUCAGAUGUGAAAGCCCACGGCUUAACCGUGGAAGUGCAUUUGAAACUGUCGGACUUGAGUACCAGAGGGGGUAGUGGAAUUCCCGGUGUAGAGGUGAAAUUUGUAGAUAUCGGGAGGAAUACUGGUGGGGAAGGUGACUACCUGGCGGGAUAUUGACGCUGAGGCGCGAAAGCGUGGGGAGCAAACA